AGGCUACACUCUGUGUCAGUCGUCCUCAGGGACAGUGAUCUGACUCAAUUUGAGCUCUGCUACAGUGAAACAGUUUCUACAAGUCAUUGUCCCUGAGGUGGGAUCAAUGCUGGAGAGACUGAACAUA
rnacentral:snoRNA from 1 species